rnacentral:rRNA from 1 species
AUAUCAAUAAGCGGAGGAAAAGAAACCAACAGGGAUUGCCUUAGUAACGGCGAGUGAAGCGGCAACAGCUCAAAUUUGAAAUCUGGCUCUUUCAGGGUCCGAGUUGUAAUUUGCAGAAGAUGCUUUGGGUGUGGCUCCGGUCUAAGUUCCUUGGAACAGGACGUCAUAGAGGGUGAGAAUCCCGUACGUGACUGGGUGCCUUCGCUCGUGUAAAGCUCUUUCGACGAGUCGAGUUGUUUGGGAAUGCAGCUCAAAAUGGGUGGUAAAUUUCAUCUAAAGCUAAAUAUUGGCCAGAGACCGAUAGCGCACAAGUAGAGUGAUCGAAAGAUGAAAAGCACUUUGGAAAGAGAGUUAAACAGUACGUGAAAUUGUUGAAAGGGAAGCGCUUGCAAUCAGACUUGCGCGCUGUUGAUCAUCCGAGGUUUUCCCCGGUGCACUCGGCAGCGUUCAGGCCAGCAUCGGUUUUGGUGGGCGGAUAAAGGCCUUGGGAAUGUAGCUUCUUUCGGGGAGUGUUAUAGCCCUCGGUGCAAUGCGCCCUACCGGGACCGAGGACCGCGCUUCGGCUAGGAUGCUGGCGUAAUGGUUGUAAGCGA